rnacentral:rRNA from 1 species
AUUGAACGCUGGCGGCAUGCCUUACACAUGCAAGUCGAACGGUAACAGGUCUUCGGAUGCUGACGAGUGGCGAACGGGUGAGUAAUACAUCGGAACGUGCCCGAUCGUGGGGGAUAACGAAGCGAAAGCUUUGCUAAUACCGCAUAAGAUCUACGGAUGAAAGCAGGGGACCGCAAGGCCUUGCGCGAACGGAGCGGCCGAUGGCAGAUUAGGUAGUUGGUGGGAUAAAAGCUUACCAAGCCGACGUUCUGUAGCUGGUCUGAGAGGACGACCAGCCACACUGGGACUGAGACACGGCCCAGACUCCUACGGGAGGCAGCAGUGGGGAAUUUUGGACAAUGGGCGAAAGCCUGAUCCAGCCAUGCCGCGUGCAGGAUGAAGGCCUUCGGGUUGUAAACUGCUUUUGUACGGAACGAAAAGACUCUUUCUAAUAAAGAGGGUCCAUGACGGUACCGUAAGAAUAAGCACCGGCUAACUACGUGCCAGCAGCCGCGGUAA